UACGUAGGGGGCAAGCGUUGUCCGGAAUCAUUGGGCGUAAAGCGCGCGUAGGCGGCUCGAUCAGUCUGCUGUAAAAAGUCAAAGGCUCAACCUUUGAAUGCCGGUGGAUACUGUCGGGCUAGAGUCCGGAAGAGGCGAGUGGAAUUCCUGGUGUAGCGGUGGAAUGCGCAGAUAUCAGGAGGAACACCAACGGCGAAGGCAGCUCGCUGGGACGGUACUGACGCUAAGGCGCGAAAGCGUGGGGAGCGAACAGG
rnacentral:rRNA from 1 species